CGGCUGGCAUGGGGCGGGCUCCGCCGGGCUGAACUGUGUCCUUCUAAGCGCUGGGUGUGCUCUUCAUCUGCCGGCGGCCAGGCUGGAAGCCCGCAGCGGGCUCCUCCCUGACGCGGUGCCACAGCUGCAGGGAGGUCCCGCGCUCCCAGGGGCUGCGUGAGUGCUGAAUAAAGGAGCACAAGCGUCAGGCAGAACUGGCCAAGCUAGAAGACAAAAGAGAAGGAGAAGAAAUUCAGAGAUUGACUCGGUUGUACCAACUGGAAAUUCAGAGAGAAAAGGAGAAGGAGCAGGCGGAAAAACUUGAACGCCGGAGGCUGCAUCAUUAAUUUGUGGCAAUUUGGUCAUGAGAACUCUUGUCCAGGUUUGUCUUCCGCACCUCCUCAUCCACUGGUAUAACCAAAGAACUGUAAUUAUAAUAGACAAGGCCCGAGGUCUCUGCUAGGUUUUUAUUUUGCAUUUGGGAUUUCCAAAAUCUCAUCCUGCAUAAAAAUGAAAGGAUCUUUAAAGAGGAGCAUGUCGCUAAACAGAAAAUAAUUGAAGCUGAAGAGGAACAAAAGAAAGAGGAAGAAGAAGAAGAUUGGAUUAGAGCUCACAUUAAAGGAAAAGAAAUGAUGGCAGAUCUAAGAAAAGGAGGGAGAGACUAGCAGGCUGAAAAGCAGGCAAGAAGACAGAAGGAAAAACAAGCAGACUUGGAGUACGAUGGUCAGAGAGAAGCUGCCUUUUUUUAAGAAGCAAGAAUUUCAAAGAUAAGGACAGUAAGUAAUUGAAUCUGGGACAAGACUUGCCCAUAAACUUUAUUCUCCUGUCCAAGUAUCCAAGGUAGGAACAGGAUGUGGAUAUGGGCUUCCUAUCUAGGUUUUAUUCCUCCUUUUCCUCUCUAAUACAGUAUAGAAAAUUGCCAAGUCAGAUACCUUGUAGUAGCUGUACUAUGGCUUGAGAAACAAAACCAGGGAAUAACACUGAGACUAUCCAGAAAAGAAAGGUAGAAGUAGUUUGCAUGUGAUAAAACAAAGACCACCCCCCGCCAAAAAAAAAAAAAAAAAAAAAAAAAAAGCCCCACCUUUUUGAAUUUUACGGGAGGAGUUAAUAUGAAGUGAUCCAUGUUGAAUAUAUCCUGUAAAAGUAACUUGAAGCCCAUGUGAGAAAGAUGGCAGGGAACUGACUACAUAUUUUAUGAAAUACAAGCUGGUUAUUUGUCAAAAAUUAGUUUAGGCUCAACAGACAACUGCAUGAGUGGGGAGUAUGUAUACAUACACAACUACAAAAACUAGAAUGGGGAGAAAAGGAAAGGCAAUGUACACUGUUCAUGUUCUUCCUGCCAAAUGUGCAUGAGCCCCAGCUUGCACAAGGACUGAGCACCUGCUAGGAACAAGGCAGGGACUUUACACCUUAUGUGCCCCUGAGAGCCUGCAGGAGAACAGAGCCAAGAGGUAUCACUUCAGAAUCAUCUUACAACCUGUAUAAGCCUGCAAGACAUCAGUGCCUAACUGCAGAAGCCAACUCUGGGACACACAAGACACAAUAUUCACCAGAACUUUCUUGAGCUGUUUCAGCUCAGGAAACAAGGGCAGGCCAUAGCUAUAGCCAUAGUUUGCAACUGCUUUGCAAUAAGCAAUUACACCUUUAAUUACUCUAGCUUUAUUAUGGAUCAAAACAGUAGAUUCAUUGUCUAGAAUGUCAAGAGAUGACAACCGAACGUAAACUGAAAACAUGUAUGCUGUCACCUGUACUGUAUUCUCUAAUAUUCAGUAUCUCUGGGCCUGAAGGCUUAUUUAAAACUUGUUUUGGCUUCAAAAGAUAUUACUAAGCAGAUAAAACUGAAUAAGCUCUUUAAAAAUAGCUGUCCACAAGAGUAAGAUCAUCAGCGCUAAGUGUACUUCUUACUCCUGACAGUUUUCUGCUUACUUUUCUUUCUUUUACAAUGGAGAAUGCCAUGCAAGACAGGAAUACAGUCUUGAGAAAAUUGUAGCACUGGUUUUAGGAGCUAACACAGAGUGUGUAGCAAGACUGUACAUACUUUGCACUAGAAGUUUCUAAGCUGACUGGUGUGAGAGCAUGCAAGAAAGGAGAAGUGCCUUUGCAUUCUUCCCUGCUUUCUGUCCACCAUCCUCCGUGGCCUAGCUGGCUGGGAUGCCGGUCCAGAUGACCUUGGGUCAAAACUUGCCUUUGUAUCCCAUUCUAAAUGGACUGUAAACUGUCCUAUCAUUACUUGUGAAUUGGUGUCAUCAGGUAGGUAACACUUUCCUGAGUAGCUGAUGAAAACUAUUGGCUUUGGGCAAAAAUAGCAGGCUGUUUUUGUUGCAAGAUUGAAGUUGGAAACAAGUGAAAAAAAAAACAAUUCCAAAGUGUCCUUUAUCACUAUUACCAGCUUCAUUAGAGCUGCAUUUCUGUGAAUGAUGAGCUCCUGUCACUCCUGUCACUUGUCUGUCAAUCUGUACCUAGUGCUGUAAUUCCUUCUACAAUUCAACACUGUCAUCCAAUUUAGUUUGAAAAUAAAAGUCUGACUUUAUCCGUGUCUUCCAUAAAAAUGUAUAAAUUUUGGUUUAAAGCAGCAGUGUCCUGACAUCAAAUCAGCAUAUUUUAGAAAUCUGUACAAGCUUGUUACUACCUCUUUAAAAGGCUGAAGAUCUGAAUCCCCUGCACAUUUACAUUUGUGCCAUAUGAACUAACAGAACACUACUCUUAAUUACAUACAGAAGAUGCUAAGUAAUACUGCAGGAAGUACACACAGCAGACAUAUGGAAUACACUAACAAAUAUGAAAAAAGCAUUUAUUGCAUAAAAGUAUUUUAAUAGAUAAAUUGUACAUUUUAUAUCAAGAACUUACACUCUCCCAGUUGAGAACUGGGCCAACUUCCCAGCUGAGAACUACAGAUUACAAAAUGUCCAGAAGAUGGAGAUUUUCCAAAUACUUCACUGAAUUCUAGUUUCUUAAUACAAACAGCACUACUUUCAUAAUUAACCACAGUUCUCUUAGCUAGUUCCUCUUACAACUGAUCAUAAAUUAAUGAGGCCUAAAUUCUUUUUGAUCCUUCCAAACACUCAUUUACAAUACCAAAAAAAACAGGAGUUAACAACUAUGGCUAAAUCACCACACUGAAUACUUCCCAUAUACACUUACAGGCAUAUGUACAGGGGAUAUAGAGAUGGUUAACUGCCUGCCAAAAAUAGCAAGGUUCCUUACAACUGUGCUCUGCAUGUUGCAAAAUUUCAAUGCAAAGUCCGUGAUGGCACCACAUUAC